rnacentral:rRNA from 1 species
GAUGAACGCUGGCGGCGUGCUUAACACAUGCAAGUCGAGCGAGAAGUUUUGAAAAGAUUCUUCGGAUGAAAUUUAAAAUGGAAAGCGGCGGACGGGUGAGUAACGCGUAGGCAACCUGCCCCAUACAAAGGGAUAGCAUUUGGAAACGAAUAUUAAUACCUUAUGAAACUUAACUAGUGCAUGCUAGGUAGGUCAAAGAUUUAUCGGUAUGGGAUGGGCCUGCGUCUGAUUAGCUAGUUGGUGAGGUAACGGCUCACCAAGGCGACGAUCAGUAGCCGACCUGAGAGGGUGAACGGCCACAUUGGAACUGAGACACGGUCCAAACUCCUACGGGAGGCAGCAGUGGGGAAUAUUGCACAAUGGGGGAAACCCUGAUGCAGCAACGCCGCGUGAACGAUGAAGGCCUUUGGGUCGUAAAGUUCUGUUCUAGGUGAUGAAAACUGACAGUAACCGAGGAGAAAGCCCCGGCUAACCCCGUG